UACGUAGGUGGCAAGCGUUGUCCGGAUUUACUGGGCGUAAAGAGCGCGCAGGCGGUCGUUCAAGUCGCGUGUGAAAGCCCCCGGCUCAACUGGGGAGGGUCACGCGAUACUGAUCGACUCGAAGGCAGGAGAGGGAAGUGGAAUUCCCGGUGUAGUGGUGAAAUGCGCAGAUAUCAGGAGGAACACCGGUGGCGAAGGCGGGUCUCUGGGCCGAUACUGACGCUGAGGAGCGAAAGCGUGGGGAGCGAACAGG
rnacentral:rRNA from 1 species